UUAGUGUUUACUUCAUACUUUGUUAUUUUUUAUUUUACUUCUUUGAUAGGUUAGAAUCCUGUAAGGGGCUUUUCUUGGGUUUAUUUUUACCUUUUGUAUAAGGGUUUCUAGAUGGCUUGUAAUCUUUUACUUUUUAGAAAUAAGGGGAUUUUUUGAGAUAUUUUUACUUUUUUAUUGAUUUUAAUAUCUUAAAAGGAGUGAAACGCUGUCGUCCUUUGAGCUAACUAUGUUAGAUAUAUUAUUGGAAGGGGUAAGCCCUUUUUUCUUCUUGUCAUAAAAGAAGUUUUUUUAAGUUUUAGUGGUAAACUUUAGUGUAAUAACUUAACUUUGUUGCGAUCAAGAAUUAUUAUUCUUUUAAAAUUUUUAUUUUAAUUAGAGCAUGAGUAGGGGCUUUUAACUUUUUCUUAUCAUUUUUAAUUUUUUUGUUAGACAAAAAUUUAAUGAAUUUACUUUUUCCCUUUAAGUCUGUUUAUUAAAAUCUUAGCCUAUUUAAAUCUAGGUUACUCCUGCCCUAUGGGAAUUUCUUAAUGGCUGUAGAUUUUCUACACUAAGGUAGCGAUAUCAUUAGUCACUUAAUUAGUAACUUGUAUGAAUGGAGCCUCUUAGGGUGGAUUAUUCUUUCUUUCUUAAAUUAUGCUUUUGUUGAAAAUAACAAAUUUUCCCCUUAGACAAAAAGACCCUAGAAUUUUUAUUAGUCUUAUGUAUAUUUUAGUUGGGGCAACAGUAAAAUUUUUAUAUCAAGAAUUUUUUUGUUUUUGAACUCUAUUUAUUAGGAYAGGUUGAGAAAAUACUCUAGGGAUAACAGCUUUAUUACUCUUUUGAGUUCUUAUCAAUAGAGUGGCUUGGGACCUCGAUGUUGGAUUGAAGUGACCCUUUGGUGUAGAAGCUGAAGCAGGUAGGACUGUUCGUCCGUUAAA
rnacentral:rRNA from 1 species